AAAAAGAUCGCAAGCAUGGUUUGGUUAAAUUGCAGAGAACAUCGAGUUCUUGCCAGGAGUCACAAGAACCAAGAACAGGCUUUAGCUGGAAUAAACUGUUCAGUACACUAGAAAAGUAAAGGCUAUUAACAACUAAUAGCUAUCAAAGAGCACUGAGAAACUGACCUGGCUUCCAACAGGCAACUAAUUUCUAAAGAAAUAAAGCAGCAAAAGUCCCAUUAAGAGUGCAACCUCCCCGCCCCCCAUGGGUUUGCACGCUGCUAAAUUGUGAGAACUCUCUGGAGCAGUCUAAGUUCCGUGUAUGCAGAGGAUUACGGCGGAUUCGAUGGAUUACAACAGAUAAACUGGAUUUUUAUUUUAUUUUAAUAAAAUGGUUAACGAGGG